AAAAAUUUAGUUAAAUUAUAACAUUAGCCUGUCAAGCUAAAAUUACCUUUUAAGAAUAGUAAUUUUUA
rnacentral:tRNA from 1 species